UAAAUGUUGGUAGGAUUAAAUCGAAAUUUCGUUUUAACCACACUGUUUAUACGUGAAGUGAAGUGGAGUCGUACGAAACGUAACAUUUUCUAAUCUCAAACGUCUAAUUACUUUAUCAAACGGAGUUGCGUCAGUUUGUAAAUUGCAAGUUUCGUAUUUCACACGCCUCGCAAUGUCGUACAUGCUAUCGCAUUUGGAGAAUGGCUAUCAAGUCGAUCAAGCCAUUCUAUCGGAGGAAGACAGAGUCGUGGUAAUUCGCUUUGGGCAUGAUUGGGAUCCGAUGUGUAUGAAAAUGGAUGAAGUCCUCUAUAAUAUUGCAGAAAAAGUCAAGAACUUUGCUGUCAUUUACUUGGUAGACAUCACAAAAGUGCCAGAUUUCAAUAAAAUGUAUGAACUUUACGAUCCAUGUACAGUAAUGUUCUUCUUUAGAAACAAACAUAUCAUGAUAGAUUUAGGUACUGGAAACAAUAACAAAAUAAAUUGGACCUUAGAAGACAAACAGGAAAUGAUCGACAUCAUUGAAACGGUUUACAGGGGUGCAAGAAAAGGUCGAGGUUUAGUUGUUUCUCCUAAAGAUUACUCUACUAAAUAUCGAUAUUAAUGCUGUAUUUGUUUCAAGGCAAGACGUUACAUCGACGAAAUCAGAUGAACGAUCCGAUUUUGAGUGGACAAUGCAUUUUGGACUAGAGAUUAUUUAAGACAUUUGUUAGGUAAUAAUGUGUUGUAAACAUACUCGGUAUCACAUAAUAUAUUUUGGGAUGUCUGAUGGCAUGUACGUUUAUAUGGAAAUGCUUACACAAAGAAUUGAUUAUUUAUAAAAAAAAAAAAAUAAUACGUGAAGUAUGAAGCGUUAAUUCUAUUCUAACAAGAUUUUGAUCUUAUAUUUUAAUAUAUAUAUACAUAAUUAUAUUUACACGUAAUUACAGCAUAUACUUUGGUCUAAUAUCUAUGUAUUCGGUGAUCAACUUAACACAUGGAUAAUUAUACACAAUUCAGUCUCUCACAUAUCUGAAAAAUAUGUAGAUUACUGUUAAAAGAAUGUAAUAAAAAAUCGGUAUAAUGUAAA